rnacentral:rRNA from 1 species
AGAGUUUGAUCCUGGCUCAGGAUGAACGCUAGCUACAGGCUUAACACAUGCAAGUCGAGGGGCAGCAUGAACUUAGCUUGCUAAGUUUGAUGGCGACCGGCGCACGGGUGAGUAACACGUAUCCAACCUGCCGAUGACUCGGGGAUAGCCUUUCGAAAGAAAGAUUAAUACCCGAUGGCAUAGUUCUUCCGCAUGGUAGAACUAUUAAAGAAUUUCGGUCAUCGAUGGGGAUGCGUUCCAUUAGGUUGUUGGCGGGGUAACGGCCCACCAAGCCUUCGAUGGAUAGGGGUUCUGAGAGGAAGGUCCCCCACAUUGGAACUGAGACACGGUCCAAACUCCUACGGGAGGCAGCAGUGAGGAAUAUUGGUCAAUGGACGAGAGUCUGAACCAGCCAAGUAGCGUGAAGGAUGACUGCCCUAUGGGUUGUAAACUUCUUUUAUACGGGAAUAAAGUGAGCCACGUGUGGCUUUUUGUAUGUACCGUAUGAAUAAGGAUCGGCUAACUCCGUGCCAGCAGCCGCGGUAAUACGGAGGAUCCGAGCGUUAUCCGGAUUUAUUGGGUUUAAAGGGAGCGUAGGCGGACGCUUAAGUCAGUUGUGAAAGUUUGCGGCUCAACCGUAAAAUUGCAGUUGAUACUGGGUGUCUUGAGUACAGUAGAGGCAGGCGGAAUUCGUGGUGUAGCGGUGAAAUGCUUAGAUAUCACGAAGAACUCCGAUUGCGAAGGCAGCCUGCUGGACUGUAACUGACGCUGAUGCUCGAAAGUGUGGGUAUCAAACAGGAUUAGAUACCCUGGUAGUCCACACAGUAAACGAUGAAUACUCGCUGUUUGCGAUAUACAGUAAGCGGCCAAGCGAAAGCGUUAAGUAUUCCACCUGGGGAGUACGCCGGCAACGGUGAAACUCAAAGGAAUUGACGGGGGCCCGCACAAGCGGAGGAACAUGUGGUUUAA